rnacentral:rRNA from 1 species
GAUGAACGCUGGCGGCGUGCCUAAUACAUGCAAGUCGAGCGAACAGACGAGGAGCUUGCUCCUCUGACGUUAGCGGCGGACGGGUGAGUAACACGUGGAUAACCUACCUAUAAGACUGGGAUAACUUCGGGAAACCGGAGCUAAUACCGGAUAAUAUAUUGAACCGCAUGGUUCAAUAGUGAAAGCCGGUUUUGCUGUCACUUAUAGAUGGAUCCGCGCCGCAUUAGCGAGUUGGUAAGGUAACGGCUUACCAAGGCAACGAUGCGUAGCCGACCUGAGAGGGUGAUCGGCCACACUGGAACUGAGACACGGUCCAGACUCCUACGGGAGGCAGCAGUAGGGAAUCUUCCGCAAUGGGCGAAAGCCUGACGGAGCAACGCCGCGUGAGUGAUGAAGGUCUUCGGAUCGUAAAACUCUGUUAUUAGGGAAGAACAAAUGUGUAAGUAACUAUGCACGUCUUGACGGUACCUAAUCAGAAAGCCACGGCUAACUACGUG